GCUCCAUGCAACUUUGCGAAGAAUCCAGUACUAGAUUAAUGGACUAGGAGAGCUCAACUCUGCAGCUUGUUGUACGAGCCUGUGAGGAUAGCCAUGGUGGAAAGUACAGUGGACUUUCAGAUUCUUAUCUAUUUGUACUAAAGUUCUGUAAAUUUGCAAAACAAUCGUUGCCGUGAAGAUGUUUCGUACUAAGCAUUUCUAGGCGGAGACCAAC